GUACCUGAUGCUCCUCGAGCUCCUGCACUAGCACCUGAGCAAAAGGGAAACACAGAUAUGAGGAGCAGCUCGGGCCAUCAACCCAUUCCUCCCUCCACACUUAAAGCCCAGCCGCUGACCGUUUGACUAGUCAAGGCCGGCCUUUCCCUCACCCUCAACGGAACUGCUCGUCCCGCUGCCUCGAUUUCCCCACUGGGACCAUUCACCACGACUCCCAGAUCUCUUUCUUCCCCUUACCUGAGCGGAUUUGUUGCAGGGUCCAGACUGCAAGAACCUAGCGAUCAGGUAAUACAGCUCUGGGGAAGAGGGGGGAAAAGAGGUUCAGAGGGAGGUAGAGAAGAGAAAUAGAAGCUUUUUCAAAAGAAACUGACAGCCUUCGCGCUAAGCCCCCAUUCCCUUAGCACCCCCCCACCC
rnacentral:lncRNA from 1 species